UACGAAGGGGGGCUAGCGUUGCUCGGAAUUACUGGGCGUAAAGGGUGCGUAGGCGGUUGUUUUAAGUUUAGGUGUGAAAUCUCCCGCUUAACCGGGGAGGGUGCGCCGAAUACUGAAUGACUAGAGUGCGGGAGAGGAGAGUGGAAUUCCUGGUGUAGCGGUGAAAUGCGUAGAUAUCAGGAGGAACACCGGUGGUGUAGACGGCUCUCUGGACCGUAACUGACGCUGAGGCACGAAAGCGUGGGUAGCAAACAGG
rnacentral:rRNA from 1 species